GCGCCCGUGGUGUAAGGCGAACAUCGCUGCCCGGAAAGCAGAAGAUGCGGGUUCGAGUCCCGUCUGGCGUA
rnacentral:tRNA from 1 species